rnacentral:lncRNA from 12 species
AUGCUGCUGAGGUGCUCAAGAACUUGUCUGCAGUCCUUGCCUAAGCAGAUGGUGAUCAUCAUGACAGAAGUGAUUUUUUUCUCAUUCCUUUUGUGUAUCUCUGAAGUUCCUACUCUGGGCCUUUAACCUAGUAAGUAUUCAUCCAACAAUUGUGGAAAAAAUUGUAUUAAAACUCCCUCUGUUAUGAAAGACCAACUUUAAAAAUGCAUAGGAUAUUAAAUAAUCUGACAUUCCUUUUUAAAAAAUAUUUUAUUUAUUUAUUCAUGAGAGAUAAAUAGAGAGAAGCAGAGACAGGCAGAGGGAGGAGCAGUCUCCUCGCAGGGAGCCCGAUGUGGGACUCGAUCCCAGGACUGGGAUAUGCCCUGAGCUAAAGGCAGACGCUCAACUGCUGAGCCACCCAGGUGUCCCAUAAUCUGACAUUGUUUAGGUAACAAUUCAUUAAAGCCAUUGAGACUCUGUAAGAUAACAGGAUAUAUAUACGAAUUUUGUUGAGUUUCCAAUCUAAACCACGUGUUUAAUAGAAAGAGUUUUUUCCCUCCAGACAACCUAUUCAGAACAGGUACCCAUUUCUGAAAUAGCACCAUUUUGAAAACCUGUGAGGUCAGACUCGACAUCUUGUAAGAAAUUAGCUAAGCCAGGGCAGCCCGGUAGCUCAGUGGUUUAGCACUGCCUUCAGCCCAGGGCAGGAUCCUGGAGACCCAGGAUCGAGUCCCGGAUUCGGCUCCCUGCAUGGAGCCUGCUUCUCCCUCUGCCUUUGUCUUUGCCUUUCUCUCUUUUUCUGUAUCUCUCGUGAAUAAAUCAAUAAAAUCUUAAAAAAAAAAUUAGCUA